UACAUGGGGUGCAAACGUUGCUCGGAAUUAUUGGGCGUAAAGCGCGCGUAGGCGGUUACUCAAGUCGGAUGUGAAAGCCCCUGGCUCAACUGGGGAAGUGCACCCGAAACUGAGUAGCUAGAGUGCAAAAGAGGGUCGCGGAAUUCCCGGUGUAGAGGUGAAAUUCGUAGAUAUCGGGAGGAACACCGGUGGCGAAGGCGGCGACCUGGGUUGACACUGACGCUGAGGCGCGAAAGCGUGGGGAGCAAACAGG
rnacentral:rRNA from 1 species